UCUGUAGGCUUGUAAGUGAAGGCCAGUGCGGCAGUCCGGUGGAGCAGGAAACAUUGAAGGGAAAUUUUGAACGAAUGGACCAAGGGUUUAGGACUGCACUCAAAAAAAUCAACGGGCCUGAGGCAUAUCAACAGUAUUCAGAUCAAUUCUACAGAAAAGUUCACUCCCCUAACCAACAAAAAAAUACACAAGGUUCAGAUGAAAGAGGAUGUUCUGCUUUGGAAGAGUCAACCAAUGAAAAAGCUGCAGAAGAAAAACACUGCAUCAGAAAUGAAGAGGUAGAGCAACUGAGUGAGGUUGUGAUAA
ensembl:lncRNA